rnacentral:lncRNA from 1 species
CUUCAGAAGCCCUGCCUGUGCCAGAUGCCUCGAUAAAGGUCAGAGGGGCGUGACUCACCUGUGAGGAGGGUGUUGUCACCGCCAGCUCUGGGCAGGACAGUCCCACCUGUGGUGUCCCAAUUUCCAGGUAGGAUACACAGCCGGCCCUGAUUGGCCAUGCUGGCUCCCUCCUUGGCACGGAUUGGCUGAGCCUUCCACCUGCUCUGUCUCAUCUUCCUGGGGCACCGGCACUGCCCGGCUGCAGCUCCUCCACACUGACCACAGAGGGACCGGAGGAUGCCCACGCAUCAGCACUUGGUCGAUAAGAUGAAGAGACACUCCUGCUUUGUUCUUUUGUUCUGUGGGAUAUUUUUGCCUGGAAUCCUUGGUUUUCCACAGACAAAUACCUCAAUUGAUUGUGAUUCUCUGUUACCAAACUAUGAAGCUGAACCACAGACAUCUGCACCACCAUAUAUUAUUGCUGUAUCUUUUGAUAACUUUGAGCCAGGAAAUGAAGUCCAAGUAACUCUAGAAGCACUUGGAGAUGCUGGAUUUAAAGGAUUUAAUCUACAAGCUCGAGAAAUAGAUGGAGAUGUUCCUGUUGGUACUUUUAAAAUUACAGAUCCAAACACUAAAGGCUUGCAAUGUCAUAACAUGACGAAUUCAGCAGUAAGUAAUGCCAAUUCAGAUGUGAAACAGAAGGUUACAACAACAUGGAUUGCUCCGCAUGAUGUUAGAGAGCUUCAAUUUAUGUAAAUAGUUGUUUUUCUUUUUUUUUUUUGCCUUGAAAUUUUCUUUCUUUAUUGUGAUAGACCUGUGUUGCUGUUUGAGAUAUUCUUGUCCAACAGUUUUUUUC